CCCUUAGAUGUUCUGGGCCGCACGCGCGCUACACUGACGAAUGCAACGAGCUUAUAACCUUGGCCGAAAGGUCUGGGUAAUCUCCAAAUUUCGUCGUGAUGGGGAUGGAUUAUUGCAAUUAUUAAUCUUCAACGAGGAAUGCCUAGUAAGCGCAAGUCAUCAGCUUGCGUUGAUUACGUCCCUGCCCUUUGUACACACCGCCCGUCGCUCCUACCGAUUGAAUGGUCCGGUGAAGCGUUCGGACCGUGGCCUUUGGACGGUUCGCCGUCUGUUGGCUGCGGGAAGUUCGUUAAACCUUAUCAUUUAGAGGAAGGAGAAGUCGUANCA
rnacentral:rRNA from 1 species